rnacentral:misc_RNA from 1 species
GGAAGGAUCAUUAUUGAAUAAACUUGAUAGGCUUGUUGCUGGCUCCCUAUCCAAGGGUGUAUUGUGCACGCUUGUCACCUUUAUUUUUCCACCUGUGCAUCUUUUGUAGAAUCUGAGAAGUCAAUUAUCUAAAGAAAUUUAGAGAGUUUGAGGACUGCUGUUGUCUUUUAAUCAAGGACCAGCUUUGCCUUGUAACUUGGGUUCUAUGUUGUUUUAUAUAUAUCUAUGAAUAUAAUAGAAUGUUGACAUUGGGUCUUUAGUACCUAUAAAAGUUGUAUACAACUUUCAGCAACGGAUCUCUUGGCUCUCGCAUCGAUGAAGAACGCAGCGAAAUGCGAUAAGUAAUGUGAAUUGCAGAAUUCAGUGAAUCAUCGAAUCUUUGAACGCAUCUUGCGCUCCUUGGUAUUCCGAGGAGCAUGCCUGUUUGAGUGUCAUUAAAUUCUCAACUACACUGAUUUUAUUAGUGUGGCUUUGGAUCUUGGGGACUGCUGGUUUUGUAAAUAAAGUCAGCUUCUCUGAAAAUCAUUAGUGGUACCUUAGUAGAACUGUUUACAGAUGUGAUAAUCUAUCUACAUCUUAAAUAUCUACGCAAGAAGGUUUAUACUACUUCUAAAAUUUUUCUCUUAAAGGGACUAGUUUUGACAAUCUUGACCUCAAAUCAGGUAGGACUACCCGCUGAACUUAAGCAUAUCAAUAAGCGGAGGAAAAGAAACUAACAAGGAUUCCCCUAGUAACUGCGAGUGAAGCGGGAAAAGCUCAAAUUUAAAAUCUGGCAGCCUGAGGUUGUCCGAAUUGUAAUCUAGAGAAGUGUUACCCGUGCUGGACCAUGUACAAGUCUUCUGGAAUGAAGCAUCACAGAGGGUGAGAAUCCCGUCUUUGACAUGGACUACCAGUGCUUUUGUGGUAUGCUCUCAAAGAGUCGAGUUGUUUGGGAAUGCAGCUCAAAAUGGGUGGUAAAUGCCAUCUAAAGCUAAAUAUUGGCGAGAGACCGAUAGCGAACAAGUACCGUGAGGGAAAGAUGAAAAGAACUUUGGAAAGAGAGUUAAACAGUACGUGAAAUUGCUGAAAGGGAAACGCUUGAAGUCAGUCACAUUGACUAGAAAUCAACCCUGCUUUUGUUGGGUGUAUUUUCUUGUUUAAUGGGUCAGCAUCAAUUUUGACCAUUGGAUAAAGUUAUUGGGAAUGUGGCAUCUUCGGAUGUGUUAUAGCCUAAUGAUGCAUACAGUGGUUGGGAUUGAGGAACUCAGCACGCUGCAAAGCCGGGUUUUUAACCACGUUCGUGCUUAGGAUGCUGGCAUAAUGGCUUUAAUCGACCCGUCUUGAAACACGGACCAAGGAGUCUAACAUACUUGCAAGUGUUUGGGUGGAAAACCCAUGCGCGUAAUGAAAGUGAAAGUUGAGAUCCUUAUGGGGAGCAUCGACGCCCAGACCAGACCUUUUGUGACGGAUCUGCGGUAGAGCAUGUAUGUUGGGACCCGAAAGAUGGUGAACUAUGCCUGAAUAGGGUGAAGCCAGAGGAAACUCUGGUGGAGGCUCGUAGCGAUUCUGACGUGCAAAUCGAUCGUCAAAUUUGGGUAUAGGGGCGAAAGACUAAUCGAACCAUCUAGUAGCUGGUUCCUGC